CCUAUGAAGCAAGGCAGCCCAACCAGCCUCCUACCCUACCGUGCUUCCCAGAUGGGGGCAUGCAAGCACGCGCCUCGGAGGGCUCGCCAUAAGUAGCAAGAAGAUACAUAACUGACUAGAAGACUAUCAUCUCCCCCUUUUCUGGUUCCACUUCAAAGCGCUGCUGCUGAGCAUGAAUUGGAGGUCUCUAGAAAAACAUAACUGCCUUUUAUCCAUUUUGCAGAUGAAGAGUGUCUAAAAUCACCACCACGAUUGCACAUGUGUAGCCUCGCCUUAACUGAUUUUUGGAUCUCCUUAUAUGCAACUUCACAAAUUGCAACUCAGUCUAGUCU